UACGGAGGUGGCAAGCGUUGUUCGGAAUUACUGGGCGUAAAGGGCGCGUAGGCGGCUUGGCAAGUCAGAUGUGAAAGCCCCGGGCUUAACCCGGGAAUUGCAUCUGAAACUGCUUUGCUUGAGUCCUGGAGGGGGUAGUGGAAUUCCCAGUGUAGCGGUGAAAUGCGUAGAUAUUGGGAGGAACACCUGCGGCGAAGGCGGCUACCUGGACAGUGACUGACGCUGAGGCGCGAAAGCUAGGGGAGCGAACGGGAUUAGAUACCCCGGUAGUCCUAGCCGUAAACGAUGGGCACUUGGUGUUGGGGGUAUUGAGUCCCCCGGUGCCGGAGUUAACACGUUAAGUGCCCCGCCUGGGGAGUACGGUCGCAAGACUGAA
rnacentral:rRNA from 1 species